UGCCAGCAGCCGCGGUAAUACGGAUGGUGCAAGCGUUAUUCGGAAUCACUGGGCAUAAAGAGCACGUAGGUGGUUGCGUAAGUCAGUGGUGAAAUCCCUCGGCUCAACCGAGGAACUGCCAUUGAUACUGCGUGGCUAGAGUGCGGGAGGGGCAGACGGAAUUCCAGGUGGAGCGGUGAAAUGCGUAGAUAUCUGGAGGAACGCCAGAGGCGAAAGCGGUCUGCUGGCCCGCAACUGACACUGAGGUGCGAAAGCUAGGGGAGCAAACAGGAUUAGAUA
rnacentral:rRNA from 1 species